rnacentral:lncRNA from 1 species
CCUUCCAGUGGAGACGGUUCAGCCUUCUGGCAUAGAUUCUUCAGCCUUCAGGCAAAGAGCCUUUGGCCCCCUGAUAUGAACUCCCACAGGACACUACAUGGAGGUCCAGGCCUUCAACUGGAUCCUUUGGACUAUGGAAAAGGUACUCCAUUAGCCUAUGUCAGAAAUACAAACUUAAAGCUAUACAUCUACCCAUGAUGGAAAUGCCUGAUACCUAUUGAGGACCUUUAGGACUCUCUGAAGGGUAUCGCCAACUGCCAACCACAACUAUGACUCCCUUCAGCCUGAAGAAGCAAGAGCAGUCACCGCCCCUUACCCCCUCAUGGUAGGUCAGGAUACUU